GGGACGGUAGCUCAGUUGGUAGAGCACACCAUUGGUAAGGGUGGGGUCGGGAGUUCGAAUCUCCCCCGUCCCA
rnacentral:tRNA from 1 species